rnacentral:ncRNA from 1 species
AGAAAAGCUAUGAUAAGAAACAGUAGAUAAAUCUGCGUCACAGAGAAAGAGCGGUUGGUGCAAGCUCCCGACAAGGUUUUAUCGAACCCGUCUUUGAGCUGUACACGAUGAGUGUUACCGGUUUCUCCCGUUACAGAGAUACAAGUGCGGUUAUACCGAAUUUAGGUGGUACCACGGAACAAUGUUUCGCCCUAAGC